CACUAGUAAGGAUCAUUUGCACCACUUCCUUAAACCAUACCAAAAAUAAAAUAGAACUCCCCAAAAGUUUCCCACGAUGGCACACUCGCUCUAUUCGCCACUAGCUGAGGAACCUGAAAAGAUUAAAGGAGGAAUGGGAUGAGCAACCACAGCUCAAUGAGUAGUACAUAUCUUCUAAGCAGAUCGAACAACCACUAUACAUGUAUACAAAACAAUACCAAACUUCAUAAGCCAACUCAAUAUAUAAAAUAAGUAUUGAAUCUUAUAAGAGUUAUUUCUUAUCAUCAAGAUUUAUAGUAAUAUGGAAAACUCAUUUGAAUCGCCAUCAAAAUUCAAGUAUCAAUGGUCGAAUCCAUUGAAUAAUCUCCAUCAAAAACACAUAUCAAUGGUCUAUCCAUUAAUCAAUCUUUUGCUCAAUAACUAACCAUGGUCACGACACAACGCCUUGUGACAAGGCGACCAAGAUUCCCCCCUUGGCAAGGUCUCCACCUACAAAGCUGGUGGCUAGGCCCAGAAAGAUAUCCUAAACCUGGUAUGCAUACCCCAAAAACCCUUCAUUGGGUUCACAGUCAUAUUGAGCAUAAAUAACCAUUCUCAAAUACCAGAAAUCCAAUCCAAAAAUCAAUAUCUUAAACAAAACAAAUAAUAUUUUGCAACAUAGCCCAUCAUCCAUUUCAUAUCCGUUUCUCAAAUCAUCAUAAACCUUUUUAUAAAUCAGUCGCAAAGCAAUUUCAUAUAUGUUUCUUCACAAACCUUGUAUAAUGUGCUUUUCAAAGAUUCACAAUCAACCAAAGGGUAGCAAUUGCUCGAUCUGGCUUUUAUGCAAUAAAAAUGCUCUUCUCAAUUCAAUAUAUAUACAUAUAUAUACUUCAAGACAUGAUUUUAUAAAACCAAAGAAGAUAUAGUACCACUCACCUUAUCGUCUACGACCAAACGACAAACGAUAUUUGUAUCGUCGAACUCAAAGCCCUAUCAAAUAACCGAAGAAUAAUGUUAAAAUCUAAUAAAAUUCUAUCUCGACUACAAAACGACUAAGUUACGUCUUAACUCUAACAAAAGGACUUAUGUGCGCUAACAAGUCGCAUAACCAAAGCGAUUGUUUAAGCCAUUCGCAACAUGAAGUUUAAGCACAAAACUUGAUCGAGCCUUAACUUUCUCUUCCGAACCCCGAUCCGAACGUACUUAUAGUCAAUAGAGAGCCCUUGACACAUAUUACAAGAAUCUCAAAUUGGCCAUCCCAAAAUCAAGCCGAAAAAUGACAAAAUACGGGCCCAAAGCUGCUGGACGCGUACUGUUCACUGCGCGCGGGAAACUUUGGAAUUUUGUUUCGGACAAACCAUAAGCUCAAAUCACGAUCCGUAAAAUCUCACGGCUCCACAACACCCUAAAUUACCAUUCUUACAAAAAUACGUGGCUCAACGACUCCAAAAUUAGACUUCGCCGCUCGAUUUUCCAAAAAUUCCGAAUUUGAGUCAUAAAUCCAAAAAUUACCUCAAUCGGACAAACGAGGGGCUUGAUCUCUUACCGGGUUAUGGAGUCGAGUUGGCUUGGCAAGGCAUCCGAGGCAUGCACGUGCUAAACCUUCUUUCCUUUCUUCCCCUUUCUCUUCUUC
rnacentral:lncRNA from 1 species